rnacentral:misc_RNA from 1 species
CCAAUAGCGUAUAUUAAAGUUGUUGCAGUUAAAAAGCUCGUAGUUGAAUUUUGGGUUUGGCCGAUUGGUCCGUUCUUGUAGCGAGUACUGGUCGGUUGGGCCUCACCGCUUGGGGAAGGGUAAUGUCCUUUAUUGGGUGUUGCUCGGAGCCAAGACCUUUACCUUGAAAAAAUUAGAGUGUUUAAAGCGGGCUUAUGCCGGAAUACAUUAGCAUGGAAUAAUAGAAUAGGACAACGAUUCUAUUUUGUUGGUUUCUAGGACCGUUGUAAUGAUUAAUAGGGAUAGUUGGGGGCAUUAGUAUUCAAUUGUCAGAGGUGAAAUUCUUGGAUUUAUUGAAGACUAACUACUGCGAAAGCAUUUGCCAAGGAUGUUUUCAUUAAUCAAGAACGAAAGUUAGGGGAUCGAAGACGAUCAGAUACCGUCGUAGUCUUAACCAUAAACUAUGCCGACUAGGGAUCGGGCGAUGUUGUUUCAAUGACUCGCUCGGCACCUUAUG